UUUUGAAGUGGGAGGGGAUGAUGUGAUCAUGGAAAGCACCAAGGAAUGGAAUCAUGAACCUGAUCAUGGAGAACUUGUAGCUGUGGAAGAACCUACACUUGAAGAAUGUUUGAGCCGAAAUAAAGCUUCUAUCAUCAGAGACAACUUGAUCUACAUUCAAGCUACUCUACACUCAAGCUGAUCAUCAUCUAGGCAAGUAGCUUGUGUGUACUCUUUUUCCCUUGAUUGGUUUUGUCCCACUGGGUUUUCCAAUCAAGGUUUUUAAUGAGGCCACAAGUUACUUCUCUUACCUCCUAGAUGAUUGAUCUUGGUCUGUCCACAUGAAGACCUUAUCUUAUAUUUUAAGCUAUGCUUUUAUGUUAUUUAGUUUUCGAAAAAACUCUAGUCUUUGUUGUGUUUCCAAGGGAGCUUUUGUCUUUAUUUUCCUUGUAUUUUCGAGACCUUGUGCAUGUACAAGGCUUCUCCUUUAUAUUCUGGUCGUGGCCCCUUGUAUCAGCAUCCAUCUUUUUAUCAAAAACCUUUGUUUUCUCUUUUCUUCUUGCUUGUCGAGUUGAGUGAGUGUUGGUGUGUAAUAUCCAACUUCUGGUGUGUAAUAUCCAGAGACUAAGGGCUCUAGUUUGGUGUGUCAUAUCCGAUCUAUUGCCUAGGAGUAUCAAGGAGCCUUUCCGCAGCCUUUUGUGUCACCAUUCGAUCCACAUACCUUGAGAAACUUGAGUCUUUUGAUUCGUUUCUGCAAGGAUUAUCCCAUCUGUUCCAGAGCAUCAUCCUAGGAUCUCAUCAAGUGGUAUCAGAGCAACUCUGGAAGGGAAGUGUGUUGAUUUCUCUAUGAUUUUCGAUUUGUCUCUUCAUAUUCAUGCUAGAAACUGAUAGAUCUGUGUUGUGGCUGUCGAAAUCUGAUAGAUUAAGGUUAUCUGAUUUCGUUUUUGUGUUAAAAACUCUUCAUAUACCUUGCUGAGAAAGUUUUCUGAUUUACUUGAUCAAUCUGUUUCUGUUUCUGAAAUUUCGAAUUGUUUCUGUCUUGAUCUACUCUGUUUUGAUUAAACUUGAUGUACUAGACUUGAAAGUGAACCUGAAAUCAAAAUCUCUCUGUUCUGUUUCGAAAUCAAUCUGAUCUGUUAGGUUUGUGAUUUAUCAGUUCUGUUCAGAUUAGUUUUGAUCUGUUUUAAAUCAUUGGUUGAGUUUUUAAUUUGUUCUGAGAAUUGUCUAAGGUUUUAAGCUUCAGUUUGAAUCUGUUUCUGGUUUUGCAAAUUGAUUUUUGUUUUCUCUGUAGAACUUGUUACUGCUGUGUGUUGUUUUCUGUCUCAGGUACUAUGGCAGGAGAUCAGGUUGCAAAAGAAGACUCAGCAGAAAAAGAACCAGAGAGUACAACACAAGAAGAACAACAGAAAAACUUGCAGACAGAAUCAGCUCAUGAAUCUUUGUCUUAUGAUCUGCAAGAGCACUGUAAGGAGUUUAAUAUGGUUGCUUCUGUGCCUAGAAUGUUUGUUAAAGUGAGUACUGAAGACAUAAAACGUUUUGGUCUUGAUAAAGUAAAAGAUUUUUUUGUUUCAAAAUCUGUUUUUGAUAACAUGUUUAAAUCUUUUAAAGAACUUAAACCAGUAAUCAUCUUUGAUCAAAAAAAUUUUCAAAAUCAAAAUAAUAACAUUUCUGGUCAUAUUCUGAGUUUUGAUCAUUUUCUGAAACAUGGCAAAAGUUUUGAUCAUUUUGAAAAGGUUUUAGAGCUUGAAUUGAAACAAUUUGAUUUCUGUUUGAAACCUUGUGAUUCAUUUGCUAGAACUGAAGAAAGGAGUUUUGUUACGAACUUCCAUGUGCAUAAACUGAUCCUUGAUAAUUCUUUUGUUUCUGCUUAUGUAUUGAAUGAACCUAAGAAGUUGCAGGAACCGAAAUUGCAUCAAUCUGAUUUUAGAUUUAAAUUUGUGAAAUCUGCAAAGUUCUCUGAGUUUGAGCUUGAUUGUUUGUGUGCUAAAAAUGAUUCUAAACGUGUAGGGUUGUUCUUUGAGGAUAUUCUAGUGUAUAACACUUUCUUUGAUAAACCUGUUGCACAAUUGAAACUAGAGUUCACUGAUUCUGAAUGUAUGAACUUAAUCCUUGAUGAUAUUUGGGUCUGCAAUAUUUUUGUUGAUAUGCAUAAUAAAUGGAGGAAUCAUGCUGUUUUGUGCUUUGGAGACAUUCUGGUCUACAACACUUUCUUUGACAUGAUAACACACUUGACUUGUCCAAAACAAGCUGAAAAAGGUACAGGUGAAGAAAGGGGCUAUAAUGAUCAGAGUAUCCAUGAUGAGUCCUUGGCUAAAUUGGAGAUGCAACAAUCAAAUCUUGGAAACUGUCUAGCCGCCAGGUUUAACAUAGGAGCAGUCCGAGGAUCAUAUCUCAGCAACCAGAAGGAAUUAAGCAACAAACUCAACUGCAAUGGAAACUACACUCAUCAGGGUCUCACGUCGAACUGGAAUCAUGUCCAAAGCUUCUCAAAUGAAAGAGUUAUGGGUUCUACAAGACGGGUGAUUCUGUGUUUGCUUUGUUUGAAUUUUUCUGAGUAUAGAACAUCUCAAUCCUAUAUAUGGCGACCAGGUGAGCAUGCUAAGGUAACCAAUCAUGUUUUCAAGAGUUCCUUUAUUGAUUACACAGAUAUGAUGCACUUGUUUUUGUCAAAAGAGUCAUGUGCAGAUUAUAUGGAAGCUUUGAAGCAUGCAAAGACAAAGAACAAGCGUGAGGAAGACAAACGUUUCAAGCCGCCUGAUCUAAGCCAGGAGAGACAUCAGGACGUCACUUGCUUCAUCCUCAUCAAAGAAGCACCUCCAGAUGCAACAUACAAGCCAAAACCGAGAAAAUAUAACUUUGGGAUAAGAAUCUUACUCUAUGAUGAUUUUGCUUGUGUUAACUUGUCUUGUUUCAAAGUAUCAGGUUUAAGUAAUGCCUCAGGAGUGAGGAAAGCCAAAUGGAUCAGUCCCUUCUACCUAAUAGAACCAGUCAGCGACAAUGCCUAUCAAAGAGGCUUGCAAGGUAAGUGUAAUCUGAUUAUAAACUCUGAUGUUACUGACUUGGUCCCUUCUAUUGCAGGUAACACAGAUUUGAGGACAAAUCUUUUUGAAGUGGGAGGGGAUGAUGUGAUCAUGGAAAGCACCAAGGAAUGGAAUCAUGAACCUGAUCAUGGAGAACUGAUGUGAUCAUGGAAAGCACCAAGGAAUGGAAUCAUGAACCUGAUCAUGGAGAACUUGUAGCUGUGGAAGAACCUACACUUGAAGAAUGUUUGAGCCGAAAUAAAGCUUCUAUCAUCAGAGACAACUUGAUCUACAUUCAAGCUACUCUACACUCAAGCUGAUCAUCAUCUAGGCAAGUAGCUUGUGUGUACUCUUUUUCCCUUGAUUGGUUUUGUCCCACUGGGUUUUCCAAUCAAGGUUUUUAAUGAGGCCACAAGUUACUUCUCUUACCUCCUAGAUGAUUGAUCUUGGUCUGUCCACAUGAAGACCUUAUCUUAUAUUUUAAGCUAUGCUUUUAUGUUAUUUAGUUUUCGAAAAAACUCUAGUCUUUGUUGUGUUUCCAAGGGAGCUUUUGUCUUUAUUUUCCUUGUAUUUUCGAGACCUUGUGCAUGUACAAGGCUUCUCCUUUAUAUUCUGGUCGUGGCCCCUUGUAUCAGCAUCCAUCUUUUUAUCAAAAACCUUUGUUUUCUCUUUUCUUCUUGCUUGUCGAGUUGAGUGAGUGUUGGUGUGUAAUAUCCAACUUCUGGUGUGUAAUAUCCAGAGACUAAGGGCUCUAGUUUGGUGUGUCAUAUCCGAUCUAUUGCCUAGGAGUAUCAAGGAGCCUUUCCGCAGCCUUUUGUGUCACCAUUCGAUCCACAUACCUUGAGAAACUUGAGUCUUUUGAUUCGUUUCUGCAAGGAUUAUCCCAUCUGUUCCAGAGCAUCAUCCUAGGAUCUCAUCAAGUGGUAUCAGAGCAACUCUGGAAGGGAAGUGUGUUGAUUUCUCUAUGAUUUUCGAUUUGUCUCUUCAUAUUCAUGCUAGAAACUGAUAGAUCUGUGUUGUGGCUGUCGAAAUCUGAUAGAUUAAGGUUAUCUGAUUUCGUUUUUGUGUUAAAAACUCUUCAUAUACCUUGCUGAGAAAGUUUUCUGAUUUACUUGAUCAAUCUGUUUCUGUUUCUGAAAUUUCGAAUUGUUUCUGUCUUGAUCUACUCUGUUUUGAUUAAACUUGAUGUACUAGACUUGAAAGUGAACCUGAAAUCAAAAUCUCUCUGUUCUGUUUCGAAAUCAAUCUGAUCUGUUAGGUUUGUGAUUUAUCAGUUCUGUUCAGAUUAGUUUUGAUCUGUUUUAAAUCAUUGGUUGAGUUUUUAAUUUGUUCUGAGAAUUGUCUAAGGUUUUAAGCUUCAGUUUGAAUCUGUUUCUGGUUUUGCAAAUUGAUUUUUGUUUUCUCUGUAGAACUUGUUACUGCUGUGUGUUGUUUUCUGUCUCAGGUACUAUGGCAGGAGAUCAGAACGGAAAGCUCACUAAGGAAGAAAGGCUGCUACUUAAAUCUAUGAAUGCUCAUCUGCAGCAGAUGAUGGAUAACAACAUGGGUGAAUUUCAAAAGAAGCUUAGACAAAAGUUUCUGCAGCAAACUGAUGAUCUUAGGCAGAAAAAUAAAAAGAGAAUGGACAGUCAAAAGCUUGAGCCAAGAUCACCAGAUUCUGUUCAAAACAAGUCAAGCAAGCAUAAGUGGUAUAAGGAAGAGGAAGCAGGACGUGGACAACAGUCUUACAAACAGACAGCCCACACUUCGAGCAGACCACAUCAAGCUUCUCGCACUCCUAAAUCAAAUAUUCAUUCUUCUUACAAUCAAAUUGUCACUAAGCCUCAACUUUAUGUUUUUACAGGGGAAGGUGAUUAUUUAAAGUGGGAAAGAACAAUGGAGAAGUGGCUUUGCUACAACAAAAUCCUGAAGAGAGAAGCAUUGGCUUAUGUGAUGUCUCAGCUCAAAGGAAACGUUUUUAAGUGGUUGUUGCAAGAAGAAGAUGAUCGCAGGUACUACAAGGAACCAGCUAUCACCACUUGGGAAGAUCUGAAGUUGCUACUAAGGAAGAAGUAUGCAUCCAAAGGCCACACUUCUCUGAAAUCUCCAAAGAAGAAAGUCAUAUCCGCAACAGACUUCAAAAGUGAAAAAUCAGAAACCAAGAUGGCUGAUUAUGAGAAAGAAAUCAGCAGCCUUGUUAAGGAGAUUCUUAAGACCAGCAAGCACUUAGACAAGCAGAAGAAGCUCCCAAAGAAUCAAGAACCAGUUGCUACUGUCUCAGAACUCAAUGAUGCAGAACCAGACUCAGCUGCCCCAAUUCAAGAAGCUCAAACCAAAACAUCUAUGGGAAAAGGAAAGUUUGAGAAAGAACAAGAGUUUUCUCUGUUCUUACCUCACUCUGAAUCUAAUUUUGAUGAUUCCUUUGAUGAACUAACUUGUCUUGAACCGGUGCAACCGAGUAGAAUUGUUUCAGUGUCACAGGUUGCAAAAGAAGACUCAGCAGAAAAAGAACCAGAGAGUACAACACAAGAAGAACAACAGAAAAACUUGCAGACAGAAUCAGCUCAUGAAUCUUUGUCUUAUGAUCUGCAAGAGCACUGUAAGGAGUUUAAUAUGGUUGCUUCUGUGCCUAGAAUGUUUGUUAAAGUGAGUACUGAAGACAUAAAACGUUUUGGUCUUGAUAAAGUAAAAGAUUUUUUUGUUUCAAAAUCUGUUUUUGAUAACAUGUUUAAAUCUUUUAAAGAACUUAAACCAGUAAUCAUCUUUGAUCAAAAAAAUUUUCAAAAUCAAAAUAAUAACAUUUCUGGUCAUAUUCUGAGUUUUGAUCAUUUUCUGAAACAUGGCAAAAGUUUUGAUCAUUUUGAAAAGGUUUUAGAGCUUGAAUUGAAACAAUUUGAUUUCUGUUUGAAACCUUGUGAUUCAUUUGCUAGAACUGAAGAAAGGAGUUUUGUUACGAACUUCCAUGUGCAUAAACUGAUCCUUGAUAAUUCUUUUGUUUCUGCUUAUGUAUUGAAUGAACCUAAGAAGUUGCAGGAACCGAAAUUGCAUCAAUCUGAUUUUAGAUUUAAAUUUGUGAAAUCUGCAAAGUUCUCUGAGUUUGAGCUUGAUUGUUUGUGUGCUAAAAAUGAUUCUAAACGUGUAGGGUUGUUCUUUGAGGAUAUUCUAGUGUAUAACACUUUCUUUGAUAAACCUGUUGCACAAUUGAAACUAGAGUUCACUGAUUCUGAAUGUAUGAACUUAAUCCUUGAUGAUAUUUGGGUCUGCAAUAUUUUUGUUGAUAUGCAUAAUAAAUGGAGGAAUCAUGCUGUUUUGUGCUUUGGAGACAUUCUGGUCUACAACACUUUCUUUGACAUGAUAACACACUUGACUUGUCCAAAACAAGCUGAAAAAGGUACAGGUGAAGAAAGGGGCUAUAAUGAUCAGAGUAUCCAUGAUGAGUCCUUGGCUAAAUUGGAGAUGCAACAAUCAAAUCUUGGAAACUGUCUAGCCGCCAGGUUUAACAUAGGAGCAGUCCGAGGAUCAUAUCUCAGCAACCAGAAGGAAUUAAGCAACAAACUCAACUGCAAUGGAAACUACACUCAUCAGGGUCUCACGUCGAACUGGAAUCAUGUCCAAAGCUUCUCAAAUGAAAGAGUUAUGGGUUCUACAAGACGGGUGAUUCUGUGUUUGCUUUGUUUGAAUUUUUCUGAGUAUAGAACAUCUCAAUCCUAUAUAUGGCGACCAGGUGAGCAUGCUAAGGUAACCAAUCAUGUUUUCAAGAGUUCCUUUAUUGAUUACACAGAUAUGAUGCACUUGUUUUUGUCAAAAGAGUCAUGUGCAGAUUAUAUGGAAGCUUUGAAGCAUGCAAAGACAAAGAACAAGCGUGAGGAAGACAAACGUUUCAAGCCGCCUGAUCUAAGCCAGGAGAGACAUCAGGACGUCACUUGCUUCAUCCUCAUCAAAGAAGCACCUCCAGAUGCAACAUACAAGCCAAAACCGAGAAAAUAUAACUUUGGGAUAAGAAUCUUACUCUAUGAUGAUUUUGCUUGUGUUAACUUGUCUUGUUUCAAAGUAUCAGGUUUAAGUAAUGCCUCAGGAGUGAGGAAAGCCAAAUGGAUCAGUCCCUUCUACCUAAUAGAACCAGUCAGCGACAAUGCCUAUCAAAGAGGCUUGCAAGGUAAGUGUAAUCUGAUUAUAAACUCUGAUGUUACUGACUUGGUCCCUUCUAUUGCAGGUAACACAGAUUUGAGGACAAAUCUUUUUGAAGUGGGAGGGGAUGAUGUGAUCAUGGAAAGCACCAAGGAAUGGAAUCAUGAACCUGAUCAUGGAGAACUUGUAGCUGUGGAAGAACCUACACUUGAAGAAUGUUUGAGCCGAAAUAAAGCUUCUAUCAUCAGAGACAACUUGAUCUACAUUCAAGCUACUCUACACUCAAGCUGAUCAUCAUCUAGGCAAGUAGCUUGUGUGUACUCUUUUUCCCUUGAUUGGUUUUGUCCCACUGGGUUUUCCAAUCAAGGUUUUUAAUGAGGCCACAAGUUACUUCUCUUACCUCCUAGAUGAUUGAUCUUGGUCUGUCCACAUGAA
rnacentral:lncRNA from 1 species